CGGUGCAAAUAACGAUCUCUGGAAGAAGAAUGCGAUACGAACCGGAUAGAAAGCAGCUGCUCCAUAAAUAUGCAGCGGUGCAGGAUUUCCCCCUUUCUGAUCUGCCCUGGGGCAAAGCCACGUGGGUGAGCCCUUGUGCCCUGUGGUUUGAGGAGGAUUCACCUUGGAGAAGAUCCCAUCAAGCUAUAAACAAUCUUUCAUAUAAUAAAAGGGAUCAGUCAGAAGAACUUUUUGACUGAAUUUGCAGUGACGGUCCACUCAAAGAGGAAACAAA